GGAAUUAUGUUUUCAUACAUUAGCUUAUUAACUACUCUAUUUGUUGUAAAUUGACUACAUCAAUCAAGUUUUAGAAAUACUUACCACACCAUUGACAAAGCAGGGUGAGACAAAAAUGAUGUGAAUGAGCCCAAAUAACUAUCACCAUUUUCAUACUUGACAAAAUAUUUACCAGAUGGUGUGAUCCCAUAAACUCUCACUAUGCUACCAUCAUCAUUGGUCCGAGAAGAAACAGACAGAAGAGAGUAGCUUGCAAGCAAUCGAAACAUGCGAUCAAGCCUAUUCGGUAAAUCAGAAUGCUGUGUUGGUAGCUUUGAAGCAAUUUCAAAGGAUGACAUGAAUCCACCAUUACUUUCCUUAGCAAUGAUAUCAAAUAAAUGGAGUUCAAUUGCAGCGUUAAGAACUGCAGGAAACACCAUAUUUGCACCAAGUACCAUAGCAGAGAGUGUAUCAUUGUCAUCUAUUUGUGGGGUGUGAGAUUCAACCACAUGAUUCUCUUUCUCAUUGGUAUAGGACAUGUUUGUUUGUUUUUUUUCUUUUUUUUUUUUGCCUAGUUUUUAUGAUGCUUUGAUGGUGCGUGUUUGCUUUCAUCAAGUGUUGUUUUUUAUAGCCAAAUUUGAUUUGAUUUUGGUGCUUGUGUGUCACAAUUUCAUUUGGUAGGGUUUUUUAAUUCUUUAACAAUUCUAUUAC
rnacentral:lncRNA from 1 species